rnacentral:rRNA from 1 species
AGAGUUUGAUCAUGGCUCAGGACGAACGCUGGCGGCGUGCCUAAUACAUGCAAGUUGAACGAUGAUUUCUGGUACUUGUAUCAGAAUGAAGAGUAGCGAACGGGUGAGUAACGCGUGGGUAACCUACCUCUUAGCGGGGGACAACUAUUGGAAACGAUAGCUAAUACCGCAUAACAAUAUUAAACACAUGUUUAAUAUUUGAAAGUACCAAUUGGUACACUAGGAGAUGGACCCGCGUUGUAUUAGCUAGUUGGUAGUGUAAUGGACUACCAAGGCGAUGAUACAUAGCCGACCUGAGAGGGUGAUCGGCCACAUUGGGACUGAGACACGGCCCAAACUCCUACGGGAGGCAGCAGUAGGGAAUCUUCGGCAGUGGACGAAAGUCUGACCGAGCAACGCCGCGUGAGUGAAGAAGGUUUUCGGAUCGUAAAACUCUGUUGUUAGAGAAGAACGUUGUGUAGAGUGGAAAAUUACACAAGUGACGGUAUCUAACCAGAAAGGGACGGCUAACUACGUGCCAGCAGCCGCGGUAAUACGUAGGUCCCGAGCGUUGUCCGGAUUUAUUGGGCGUAAAGCGAGCGCAGGUGGUUUAAUAAGUCUGAUGUAAAAGGCAGUGGCUCAACCAUUGUGUGCAUUGGAAACUGUUAGACUUGAGUGCAGUAGAGGAGAGUGGAAUUCCAUGUGUAGCGGUGAAAUGCGUAGAUAUAUGGAGGAACACCGGUGGCGAAAGCGGCUCUCUGGACUGUAACUGACACUGAGGCUCGAAAGCGUGGGUAGCAAACAGGAUUAGAUACCCUGGUAGUCCACGCCGUAAACGAUGAGUGCUAGUUGUUUGGGGCUAUCCAGCCCUAAGUGCACGCAGCA